GAUCUUUUCAAACAAGUUCUCAAAUAAGUUUGAAACCAAUCAUUUGUAUACCUAAAGUUCUUUAUGUACUAAAAUGGUUGUUUUUCAGUAAUGUUUAUCUAUAGAAUGGAUCGAACUAUGUGGAUUUCAAAAGUUUGUCUUAUGACCUAUUCCAAAAUGUCACAAAACAGUCGCUUUGGUGCAACUUUUUGCGACGACAGCAGAACACAGUCGACGCUUGCAAGCUUUGUGUAACUGUUUUGUGACUAAAUUGCGACGAUUGUCGAACGUUUUAAAAUUUUGUUAAAUUUAUUAAGUGUUUCUCGAGUAAACAUUGUGCGACCGAAUAGGGACUAACGAGCAUUUUUAUUUGUAAAAUGUUUCAAAAAUGUCACAAAACAGUCGCUAGGUGCAACGUUUUUGCGACGACAACCGAACACAGUCGCACUUUUCAACCAAUUAGAAGGAGAGGAC
rnacentral:rRNA from 1 species